rnacentral:rRNA from 1 species
UACCAGCACCCCGAGUGGUCGGGACGAUUAUUGGGCCUAAAGCAUCCGUAGCCGGUCCUGCAAGUCUUCCGUUAAAUCCAGCUGCUCAACAGAUGGGCUGCGGGGGAUACUACAGGGCUAGGAGGCGGAAGAGGCAAGCGGUACUCAGUGGGUAGGGGUAAAAUCCUCUGAUCCAUUGAAGACCACCAGUGGCGAAGGCGGCUUGCCAAUACGCGCUCGACGGUGAGGGAUGAAAGCUGGGGGAGCAAACCGG